AUUGAACGCUGGCGGCAUGCCUUACACAUGCAAGUCGAACGGUAACGCGGGGCAACCUGGCGACGAGUGGCGAACGGGUGAGUAAUGCAUCGGAACGUGCCCAGUAGUGGGGGAUAGCCCGGCGAAAGCCGGAUUAAUACCGCAUACGACCUACGGGUGAAAGCGGGGGACUCGCAAGAGCCUCGCGCUAUUGGAGCGGCCGAUGUCAGAUUAGGUAGUUGGUGGGGUAAAAGCCUACCAAGCCGACGAUCUGUAGCUGGUCUGAGAGGACGACCAGCCACACUGGGACUGAGACACGGCCCAGACUCCUACGGGAGGCAGCAGUGGGGAAUUUUGGACAAUGGGCGCAAGCCUGAUCCAGCCAUGCCGCGUGCGGGAGAAGGCCUCGGUUGUAA
rnacentral:rRNA from 1 species